GCACUCCAAGUUGGCAAUAGAGCAAGACCUGGUCUCAAAAAAAAAAAGUAGAAACUUCUUCAAGGGCCUAGCAUAAGUCAGGUCUCUACUGGGUUUUGGUAGUCUAAAUUCAGGAUUUACAUAGGGAAUAUUCACUAUGUUCUGUAUUUUUUUCUUUUUGUUUGACCUUGUUCUAUAAGAACAAUUUUGUAGUUGUUCUUUAUGUACCCAUUGAUAAGGAGAAUAUAUGGUAAGCAAGGAGCAAAAUGACUUAGCUGUCAUGUGGAAUGGAUUUUUGGAUUUUUUUAAAAAGCAGAAAAUCAACUCCUGUUCGUUGAUAUUUUGGGCUGCUUAUCCCUCCUCCCCAUUUGCCAAUGUUUUCCUUUGCUUGUGUAUGCAAAAAGUUGUAAAACAUAAACAGUGAGCAAAUCAUAAAACAGGAUUCUUUAUGCUUGUAUAUCUAAUUGUACUGCAAUGUGCUUGAAGCAGGACAACUCCCAGCUCCCACAAAAUCCAGGGUGGAUUUUAAAAAAGCAUUUUAGGACUUGUUUUCCUAUUGGGCAUCUCUCAGUUUUUAAGGUGUUUCUAUGCUAGAGAUCUCAUGGAUGUUUUCUUUAUUUUCAUGUCUCCCUGCACCCUCUCUACUGAAUCCUGCUUUACUGAUUCCAUCUAUUAUUGUGGCUUUAAUCUGUAGGGAAGGCUUCCAGAUCAGCUUCCUAUCCUGAUUCCUCAGGGCAGUCUUUUACCCUCACUGUUCCUAGCUCUCAGCUGUUAAGAGGAAACCAUAUUGUCUAUAAUUAGCAAUUUUGCAAAAAUAGCCUGUGAAUGCAUAUUAGCAUCACCUGAUUAUUGAGUGCCUAGUGGAUCCAUAUCUCUGUACCCAGAUACAACACAGGAGGGAAAAGAUGUGGUUCCUGUCCUCAGAAACUCCUGGUCAAAGAAGGUUCCAGUGUCAGGUAUGUGUAAGCUGUGAAAGCCGUACAUAGAAACAGGUGUCACUGAAAAUAGAUAUUUCCAUGUAAACUGUAUAUAAACUUGGCCUUUAGUGGUAUCCGUGGAGCUAAGAAUGAACCAUUGGCAAUACUACCACGUGUGGGAGGAUAAUGGAAAGGAAGCAUAUUUAAGAAAUGAGGGAAACCACAAGGAAAGACAAAUGCAGGGGCAUAUACACCACAGAGAAUCUCAGAAUCUUGGUAAGCUUAGACUGGAGAUAAAUGUCAACCAGUCAAACCCCCAUCUAAUGUUUGAGUUCCUCUACCAUGUUGCCACCCAGCUGUGAGAAGUUUCAGUGACAGGAAAUAAGCUGACAGAUAACCCUGGAGCUCAUUCCACACUGGACUCUGGUAAUUAUUGGAAUGUUCAUUUAAUAGUUAUGUAGAACCUAAGAUUGACUUCACAUCAUUCUUUUCUCACUUAUUUUGGUUUCUCUCUGGGGCCCAAAAGCUAGCCCAUGUCUGUCCCUGGCUUUCAAAGCUCCCUACUUGGGCCUGGUGCGACCCGCUCCUUCCUGGUGUGUCACUGUGUAUUGUGCUCUCCAGGGCUUCUUUCAGUUCCGCUAACACACCGAGCACAUUCUUGCCCUAGGACCUCCCGACUAGAGCACUUGUCUCCUGCUUGUGGCAUGAAAUGUAUCUCUUCAGAGGAGCCUUUGCUGACCACCAAAGCUAAAAUAGCCCACUCCUGGAAUGCUAAAUUUAAUGACAUUAAAAAAUAUAUUUAUGGCAAAGGCCCUUUUAUAAGCCAAUUCAAAAGACCAAAGAAAGACUGAGGAAAAUAUCUGAAACUCACAUAAUAGGCAAAGGACUAAAUUCCCUAAAAUAUAAAGGAUUUCUACAAAUCGGUAAGAAAAAACCCAAUAACCCAAUAGAAAAAAAAAAAAAAAAACUGUCAAAGAAUAUGAAUAGAUCAUCAAAACAACAAUAAUCAGAAGCCUACAUAUGCUGCUCAGACAUGGGAAAAAGUGCUCAAACUCACUGAUGGCGAAAAAAAGGAGAGAUUUUUUUUUUUUUUACUUGUCAAACUGACAAAGAUAAAACAAGAUUGAUAUUAACAUUGUAUCAGCCAGGGUAUGGGAAACAGAUUCCCUCAUAUUCUGCUCGUGGGACUAUAAACUAGAACAAUGUCUAUAGAGAGUGAUUUAGUAACAUUUACUAAAAUUAGAAAUGCACAAACCCUUUAACCCAGUGAUUUCUCUCCUAAAAAUUUGUCUUUCAGAUAUGUUCCUGAGUAUGGGAAUUGAUACCUGUACAAAGGUACUCAUGGCAGCCUUGGAUAUACAGUAAUAGCAAGAGAUUGGAAACAAUAUACAGAUCUCUCAAUGUGGGUGUAACUACAUUUUUGAUCUGGGAUUGGUCUCAUCUGAGGAUGUGGAACCCGCAGGUGUGGAGAGCCAACUGUACUGGCAGAAAAAAGUAGAGUCAGAAUGAAGUACCAGCUACCAGGAAGGCGGCCAACUCAAGUUAGAGAAAAUAGGCUGCCUUGCUGGGGAUCACCCUAACGGGGCACAGGCCUGCCCGAUAUGAGGACUCAGCGCCCCAGCAGGGAAGCCCACAUGGGUAG